rnacentral:lncRNA from 1 species
GGCAAGUGGAUGAUCCAAAUAUUCUUUGGUUUCCAUUCUUACCCAAAUCAAUGAAAAAAAAAAAACCCUCUGUUUUGAGUAUGGCGUGGGUCCUACAUGAUUUGGACGCUGCAUUGAGUGCUGGGCUAUCUGCCAUGGGGUCUGUUCUGCGACGAGGCAUAAGAAGCAUGUAGGGAAAAAAAUGCAGACUGGCUAGCUCAAUGUGGCAGAGGUUCAAGGGGACCAGCUGGGGCAUCUAGAGUUGAGAAAAGCCAAGGAGCACUAUAGGAUCCUAACCAAGAGCAACUUCUAACUUUAGAACUAGCAGCUGUGAGGAUCAGCUUGCCAAACAGCAAGCCAUGAAGCAGAAACCAUCACUCCAGAUACCUAAGAAACAAGAGCACACACCCCCCACAUAUCUUUAGCCUUCAGAUUACAUAAACUGUGCUUAUCUUUAUGAGCUAUACCCUGAAGCCAUCUUAAGAAUAACCAGGAAAUGGG